rnacentral:miRNA from 1 species
AACCCGUAAGGUCUUAACUUGU